AUGGAUGCAGUGAAGACGAUGGAGAUUCUGUCUGAGAUGAAGGCUAAUGAUCCUGAUUUCAAUUACACAGUACAAGUGGAUGAGGAGAGCCGUAUAAAAACACUGAUGUGGGUAACAAGCAGAGGUUUUGAUCAGUACAGGUGCUUCGGAGAUGCAAUAACUUUUGAUACAACAUACCGUACCAAUCUAUAUGAUAUGCCUUUCGGUCUUUUUGUUGGAGUUAACAAUCACUUUCAAAGCAUAAUUUUUUGUGGCGCAAUGAUGAGGGAUGAGAAAGAGGACACAUUCAAGUGGAUAUUCAGGGAGUUCAUCCGCAUGGUUGGCGGGAAACACCCGCAGACGAUUCUUACUAAUCAGGCGCGUGCUAUGGAGCUGGCUAUUGAGGUAGAACUACCAAACACAGUACACCGUUGGUGUAAGUGGCACGUUUUGAAGAAGGUGAAGGAGUCGAUGGGUGUGCUCUGGAGCAAGAACAGUAAUUUUAAGAUGGAGUUCCACAAGCUUGUACAUCACAUGAUCACAGAGGAAGAAUUUGGAGCUGGUUGGCAGGACAUGUUGGAAAAGUACAACUUGAGGAAGCAUCCAUUCCUGACGCAAAUAUAUGAGGUGCAGCAUAAGUGGGCAAAGCCAUAUUUCAGAGGCGUGUUUUGUGCAAAGAUGAAUAGCACACAACGAAGUGAAAGUGCUAACCAUCUGCUGAAGGGUUAUGUUCCACCGGGGUGCCCUAUGCAUCUUUUCUUGAAACAAUUCGAAAAGCUUCAGUUUGACAGGGAGUCAGAAGAGAGCUUCCAAGAGAAGAGUACAUUGCUAAGUGGUGUCUCGCUUCGACUAAACCUGCCAAUAGAGAGGCAUGCUAGCAAGGUGUACACCCGAGCCAUGUUCGAGAAAUUUGAUGAAGAACUAUAUAAAUGUGGCACACAUGUAUUGGAUGAGAUUGUGCCGAGAAAGAUUUAUAAAUCAACCCAUAUAGAUGCGGCGGCAAGAGAAAAAUGGAGUAAGGUAGAGUUCAAGAUCGAAGUGAAUGAUGAUGAGAGUUUUUUUAGUUGCGAAUGUGGCACAUUUGAACACUCUGGCUUGGUGUGUUGCCAUGCAUUGCAGGUUAUGGUGUUCUUCCGUCUAUCGAAGAUACCCGAGAAACAUAUAAUGAAACGAUGGACAAGAGAUGCACGUGAUGUUCUCCCUGCAUAUUUGGUACGGUACCAAAGAGACAGAGGCCCUCCUUCUAGUGACACAUUCAGGCAUCACACAAUGUACAUGAAGGCGCUUGAAUGUGUGUUGCUUGGUGAUAGUAAUGUUAAGUGCUAUGGUGUUUUCAUAGCUAUGAUGAAGGAGGUGCAAGCCGCUCUGGUGCCGUUAAGCAGUGAUAAGGAUGGCAUGGGACUAGCAGAAAGGGAACAACAAAAUCAGCUGCUUGUUCAGAACGAGCAAGAGACACUUGAGUUGCAAGGCUGUGCGACAAGGUCUCAGUGUGAUGGUGAAUCAAGUUGUUCAGUGAUUGUAGGACAACGGAAAAAAUGGCCGAGGGGUAGACCUACAACAAGCCGUGACAAAGCUCUGUAUGAAGAACAUUUGAAGAGAUUGCGGUUCUGCACGAUCUGCAAGAGUCAGGGCCACAAAUGCACAACUUGCCCAGAGAGAGGCGAUGUGCCCAAGGCGCCAAGGAAAUUGCCAAAGUGUUCAAAUUGUGGUGUGCUUGGACACAGGCGUAAUGCUUGUGGCACCAAGAAAUCUGGACCGUUCGAGCCUAAUUUUCUGUAA
rnacentral:rRNA from 1 species